CCUACGGGAGGCUGCAGUGGGGAAUAUUGGACAAUGGGGGCAACCCUGAUCCAGCCAUGCCGCGUGUGUGAAGAAGGCCCUCGGGUUGUAAAGCACUUUCAGUGAGGAAGAACGCCUGGUGGUUAAUACCCAUCAGGAAAGACAUCACUCACAGAAGAAGCACCGGCUAACUCCGUGCCAGCAGCCGCGGUAAUACGGAGGGUGCGAGCGUUAAUCGGAAUUACUGGGCGUAAAGCGCGCGUAGGUGGCUUGAUAAGCCGGUUGUGAAAGCCCCGGGCUCAACCUGGGAACGGCAUCCGGAACUGUCAAGCUAGAGUGCAGGAGAGGAAGGUAGAAUUCCCGGUGUAGCGGUGAAAUGCGUAGAGAUCGGGAGGAAUACCAGUGGCGAAGGCGGCCUUCUGGACUGACACUGACACUGAGGUGCGGAAGCGUGGGUAGCAAACAGGAUUAGAUACCCUUGUAGUC
rnacentral:rRNA from 1 species